GGGUGUGAGGAUCAUCUGGCUGUGAUAACUGUCACCUCAUUGAUCACUAGGGUUGAUUUGACUAAUCUGCCUGGCUAUUUAAGUAUCUGCUUCCUCUCAAAGCUGUGCACUGGGUGGAAGAGAAUGACCUUCCCCAAUAGAAGAGGAGCAGUCUUCAGUCAAGGGUAUACCAGGAACUGGGAUCCCCUGUUAAAAUAUUCCAAACAAGCACCGCCUCUGCCGCCACCAAGUCCCCAAGUCCCCUAUAUAAUUUUUUUUUAGCAAGUUAAUAAAAAAAUCAAUCACCUAAAGUGAUUAUAUUAUUCUUUAGAGUGGU
rnacentral:snRNA from 1 species